rnacentral:rRNA from 1 species
UACGUAGGAAGCGAGCGUUGUCCGGAAUCACUGGGCGUAAAGCGCGUGUAGGCGGUACGGCAAGUCUGCUGGGAAAGCGCCCGGCUUAACCGGGCGAGGUCGGCGGAAACUGCUGAACUGGAGGACGGUAGAGGGGGGUGGAAUUCCCGGUGUAGUGGUGAAAUGCGUAGAGAUCGGGAGGAACACCUGUGGCGAAGGCGGCCCCCUGGGCCGGACCUGACGCUGAGACGCGAAGGCGCGGGGAGCGAACGGG